CAACUCUCUCUCUCCCCGGCCGCAGGCAGGCCGAUGGAGCAACCGCAAGCAGAUCCGGUGGCGUCGGAAGCUGUCGCCGGCGCCGGCGACGACGCGGACGCGUACCGCAUCCGGCCGCUCGAGCUCGGGGACAUCUCCAAGGGCUUCUGCGACCUCCUCGCGCAGCUCUCCCCCUCCGCGCCGCUCACCGAGGACGCCUACCGCACCCGCUUCGCGGAGCUCGCGCGCCUCGGCGCCGACCACCUCGUCCUCGUUGCGGAGCACGCCGCCACGGGCCGCCUCGCCGCGGCGGGGGCGGUGCUCGUGGAGCGCAAGUUCAUCCGCCGCUGCGGCACCGUGGGCCACGUCGAGGACGUGGUGGUGGACGCCGCCGCGCGCGGCCGGGGCCUCGGCGAGCGAGUCGUGCGCCGCCUCGUGGAGCACGCCAGGGGGAGGGGGUGCUACAAGGCCAUACUGAACUGCGCCCCGGAGCUCAAGGGGUUCUACGCCAAGGUCGGGUUCCAGGAGAAGAACGUCCAGAUGGGGCUCUACUUCUGAUCUAGCUAUGCUAUGCUGGCGAUCUUUUUGAAGAAGGUGGCCAUAUCUUGUUAGAGCAGGUCAGAACAAGGAUGAUGAUUCCCGUGUUGCUUUAUGUUGUACUAGUCGCCGGUGAGUAUUCAAAACUCAGAAGAGGCAGGUCGAAAGGAAGUCCUGAUGAUAGAUGGAUAUUCUACAGUUGACUUGCAUUAUACCUGUUAGUAGUGGGAAGGGAAAGUUGACAACAGUCCUAGGAAGGGUAAGGUGGAACAGUGGAACUAUGUCUGAGUAGUGCGAAACCUCACAGCAACUCCAACGCUGGAUGUUAGUGGACCCCUGAAUCAUCUUGUGCUGGAUUGCUUCUUUUACAAUGUUAUACUCUUAUUUGACUGCAGUCUGAAAAUGGAUUAAUACAACCAGCCGAUGAUCUUAUUCAUAAAUAAGCGACAUUGACUUUUGAGAGCCAACCCCAUUUGGAGAGAGCAUCAUGUACGCCGCACGGGUGCUGAACCUUUUGUCUUCUCCCCACGCCAUAAACUUGUAAUCUUCUUCCUCAAACUUAGGCCGGUGAUCAGGCGGUGGAUUUUUUUUUUUUUUUUUUUUUUUUUUUGAAGUUCUCUUUCUGCUGAUUGAGUGAGUCCUAGGAUGAAGACUGAAACCAUGGGGAAUCAACUGAGCUACGAAGCAUUCCAACGCAUGCAAUGAGAGAAAAGAGCAGGGAAUUCUAACACAAUAGCGCCGCAAGGCAGCCGUUUCUCCAUCCAGGACGAUGUUUCCAUGGUGCUUUGAACCUGCACAA